AGCAUUAGAAUUUAUUUUAGCUUACUAUAUUCAGGGGAAUGCAAAUAGCAAAAUUUCUAUUCUUCUCAACACUCUUUCCAAGAUGAAAUGUGCUCAGAUUGUUCAAACCUAACUUAAUAGCUAUUAGAAUCUGUCUUGUCGAAAGUCUCAGAUUCUUUAUUUUACUCUUUGUAGCAGCAGGACUCUUUGGUCCAACUGCCCGAAAAACUAUUGUCAAGAAAAUGCCCAGUGACCUCCAAACUCCUGACCUUUCAAUUACCUCAGUGGAUGGACCGAGAGAAAGCAAAAGGCAUCCCAGUGUCUCCUCACUAUGGAGUGGAAGGAGCAAGAGGUUUAUAAUAGCAUCUUGUUAUAUUGAAGUCACAAGCUACCAGCAUCUUCUUAUAUUGAAGUCACAGGCAGGAUUUAAAUUCAUCUUAUAUGUAAGUAUGGUAUCCCAGUGUGUCAGUGAAGAGACAGAUGUUACUGAGAUCACCUUGCCCAGGGACGCAUCUCCUAAUAUCUGCAAGGAUGUCCUGUAUACCAAAAGUAUAGCUUCAUUCCUUCUAAUCCCAAAGACUCUCAAAUAAAGCAAAUCUGCGGGAGGACAAAGAUGAUGGUGAUCUAACUUCCUGUGCCAGCAUCAUCAUUUUACAAUAAGAUUUGACUUUGGUUAAAGUUUGAAAUUCUCCUCUGAGGAAACACAUUUCAGGAUGUUAUCUUUCAUGCAUACCUUAUCAUGAAGAAAGGAUCCAACUAUUCAUAAUCUAGAUUUCCACUGAUUUCUUUAACCACAGUUUGAUAACAACCACCAGUGAGGUAGUCAGGUCCAGGUCUUAUGGAACUUUAUUCUGUUCAUUGGGAAUGUGGGUUUUAUUGAUGAGGGAGUGAUAAACUAUUGGAGAAUUCUCAAUUGUGGCGUCAUGUCUUCUGAGUUAUACUUUUACAGGAAUGAUUCUGGUUGCUCUGAAGGAACAGAUAGAUGUGGGGAGACAAGAAUAAAAGCAAGGAGGCUUGUAACUGGCUGUUUUCAUACUAGAGGAACUUCAGGACUGAAUCCUGCAGUAGAAGCAAGAACAGGCUAUUGGGAGACUCUGGUCCUCAACUGCACAAAGAAGGGCCCAUAUCCUCAACUCUGCCACAGACCUCUUUGAUUCCAGUUGGAAGCCUGGAGAUUUCACUGCUGCUGAGGAGGGUUCCAGGGACUGGGAAACCUGAGCUGUGAGCUGAGCUUGGGUGAUCUGUUUCCAUCUGUGGUCUGGUGCUGAUGGUUUCCAAGGCAGGAAUCAAGUCAGUCCUUGAAGAGCUACAACAGAGCAAAAGUGCAGGUAAACAAAGCAACACGAAGGCUAAAUAAAAGUCAUUUCCCCAAGCAAAAUAAGGGUAGGGACCUUCAGAUGGACAGAUUAGCCUGGAUUAAGCAGAUGGAGAAGCCGAGGAUCAAGGAUCGGGCCAGGAGCCAAGGAAUACUGCCACCUCUAGAAGUUGGGAACGGCCCUCAGCUUACAGCCACUAAGAAAAGGGGGAUUUUGGCCCUCUAGCUGCAAGGAAUCUAAUUCCACUUGAAUUAACAAGGAACAUCCAGGCAGGAAUGUAGCCCUGACAACACCCUAAUUUAGGCCAGUCAGGCCCGGACAGACUUCUGACCCACGGAAUUCUAAAAUAAUUUGUGUUUCUUAAACCAUCAAAUUUGUUGUAAUUUGUUAUGGUAGCAACAGGAAUCAAAUAUACCUCUCUACUUUUACAAGAUAUUGUUGUCUGCAGCCUGUUUGAAGUCGGUGACUAAACACAGCUGGUUACUAUGGCAGGCCCAUUCUGAAGAGUUGCAGGACACCCUCGGGAGUACUUUGGUUUGAAGCCUCCUCAUCACCUCGGCUGCCGUUUCUGGGAUCUGGGUUGCAGUCUGAGGCUCAUUUUUCCAAUUCCCAAUACUUCCUACUGAUGAUAUUCUUGAGAGUCAGGCUUUAUCAAGAGAGAAAAAGGACUUUAAAAUUUUCAAACUCCUUUUUAAAUAUCAGAGAUUUUUUUGGCCUACUUUGAUUACAGGUCCUUACUUAUAAGUCUCUCCUUCCUAGGGAGAAAAUAGAAAGCUUUAAGAGACAGAUUACACUUUACCUGACAUUCAUUUUUGCAUGCCUUGUUAAACAUGAAAGAAUGUGUUAAGGCCAUUUUUUAUUGUUUAAUUUGUUGUUUUGACUUUGGGUGUGUGUGUUUGUGUCAAUUAUUUUUUAAUCUACUAGAACAUUCAUUAUCCUUUUUAUUUUGGAAAACAAGGGUGAGAAAGGUUACGUGAUCUGGAGGUAAAAAUACACCAUUAUGUAAAGUUGAAGUGUCAUCCCCUGAAUCCACAUUGCACAUCUAUAAAGUAGAAGAACUUGUCUUACUCCAGUGUUUAGUAUUCGUUAGGUUAAUGUUUUUCAAACAAGCUUGAUAGUAAGAAGCAUUUGAGACUUUUGUUUAAAAUACAUCCCCCUCUACCACUGAAAGUUUAAUUUGGUAAGUUUGUUUGGACAUACAGAUUCUGUAUUUCUAAGAAAUAUUUAGAUGGUUUUUAUCAGACUUGGAGGUCCUCUUAUUGAAAAUAAAAAAGUAGACAUGCUCACGA